UACGUAGGCAGCGAGCGUUGUUCGGAGUUACUGGGCGUAAAGGGUGUGUAGGCGGUUGUUUAAGUUUGGUGUGAAAUCUCCCGGCUCAACUGGGAGGGUGCGCCGAAUACUGAAUGACUUCGAGUGCGGGAGAGGAAAGUGGAACUCCUGGUGUAGCGGUGAAAUGCGUAGAUAUCAGGAGGAACAUCGGUGGUGUAGACGGCUUUCUGGACCGUAACUGACGCUGAGACACGAAAGCGUGGGUAGCAAACAGG
rnacentral:rRNA from 1 species